UACGUAGGGUGCGAGCGUUGUCCGGAAUUAUUGGGCGUAAAGAGCUCGUAGGCGGUGUGUCACGUCGUUCGUGAAAACCUGCAGCUUAACUGUGGGCGUGCGGUCGAUACGGGCAUCACUGGAGUUCGGCAGGGGAGACUGGAAUUCCUGGUGUAGCGGUGAAAUGCGCAGAUAUCAGGAGGAACACUGGUGGCGAAGGCGGGUCUCUGGGCCGAUACUGACGCUGAGGAGCGAAAGCGUGGGGAGCAAACAGG
rnacentral:rRNA from 1 species